CAAGGCCACACCUUCUAAUAGUGCCACUCAUGGGACCAAGCAUAUGCAAACCAUCAAAACUGGUAAGCCUCAAACCCUGGCACAAAUGGCUGAGGAGCUUGGUGGUGUCCAUUGGCCCCCAUGGGCUCAUAAGGACUUGUGCUAUUAGGAGGUGUGGCCUUGUGGAGGAAGUGUGUCACUAGAGGACGGGCUGAGAUCUCUGACACUCAACCAGGAUCACAUUCCUUUCCUGAUGCCUGGGGAUCCAGAUGUAAAACAUAAGCAUCUCUCUACUCUGCCCUUCUGGGGCACCCAGCAUGUGGGCAUCUCCCCACGACCAUGCCCUUCAGGCUCUACCACAAGGGCGGUUCUACUUGAACUUCAGCUGUUUUCUCCUCUACCUGCUGUGACACUUGUCUCUUCCCUUCUAUUGGCAUCGUCGAGCUCAACUCAUGAUGACGCCACCAUUGAGAGAAGCUCACCCAAGAAAUGCUCUCAAGGUUCCUGCCUGGUAGUUUCUUCAGCAUUAAACUUGAGCUGCCUGGUGUCUGCCUGCCUAGAGGACUGGUCUGCAUCUGCUGACUCCUAUUUGGUGUUUGCUACAGGACUGAGCUGCUGCCCAAGAAGAUCGAUUUCACCCCCCAAAAAUAUUCCUGUACAAGUCCCCCUUCCCUCCUUUCCUAGUAACUUUUCUCCUCCACUGCCUCUGCUGGGUGAUGGGCUAGAGGAGAGGGCGAACCCUUAUUAAAAGUAAGUUGCAAAAAAAUGUAUGCCCACAAACCUUCCCUGUCCUCCUUUUCUCCUUAGACUCUGGUGAAAGGACAAUGUAAACCCCAUUUGUCACUAUUUAAGUAUCAGGCCUGAUUUUGAAAAGAAGGCCAUAAGGCAUCCCCUCCAGGAACAGACCAUAAAAAUCCAAAAACAAGGUCAUAAAACACCUCCCAAAGAACAGCCUGGGGAUAACCACAAGAUGGGAAAAUAUCUUAUCCCAGGACGGGCCAUCUGUGCUGGGCAGUCCUAUGUCAUCCUGUGGUUAAAUGUUCAUGACAUCGGAAUGCAGACCACUGACCACCUGGCACAAGUCAAUCGGAAGCUGACCCCUGUGACCUCCCCAGUGCCCACCAGUGAAAUUUUAGAUGAGCUAACCCACUCUCUAAAUAUACAAGAACUAACGUUGUAGCCAAUCAAAGUUAUACUAAUGUCACUGAUUUGGCUCCUGCCAAUCACAUUAGAGAUUACCCAAUCCUCUUAGAGAGUUCCCCUGGUUCCUUAUAAGAAGGUCUGCAUGCCUUUAUCUGGGGUCUCCAUUUUGGAAAAUGGUUGACCCUCACAUGCUGGUUGUUUCUGCGGAAUAAAUGCUCUUUGUCUUUG